AGUGAACGCUGGCGGUAGGCCUAACACAUGCAAGUCGAACGGCAGCACAGUAAGAGCUUGCUCUUACGGGUGGCGAGUGGCGGACGGGUGAGGAAUACAUCGGAAUCUACUUUUUCGUGGGGGAUAACGUAGGGAAACUUACGCUAAUACCGCAUCCGACCUACGGGUGAAAGCAGGGGAUCUUCGGACCUUGCGCGAUUGAAUGAGCCGAUGUCGGAUUAGCUAGUUGGCGGGGUAAAGGCCCACCAAGGCGACGAUCCGUAGCUGGUCUGAGAGGAUGAUCAGCCACACUGGAACUGAGACACGGUCCAGACUCCUACGGGAGGCAGCAGUGGGGAAUAUUGGACAAUGGGCGCAAGCCUGAUCCAGCCAUACCGCGUGGGUGAAGAAGGCCUUCGGGUUGUAAAGCCCUUUUGUUGGGAAAGAAAGGCAGCAGGUUAAUACCCCGCUGUUCUGACGGUACCCAAAGAAUAAGCACCGGCUAACUUCGUG
rnacentral:rRNA from 1 species